AGCAGCCGCGGUAAUUCCAGCUCCAAUAGCGUAUAUUAAAGUUGUUGCAGUUAAAAAGCUCGUAGUUGAAUUUCGGGAUUUGUCAGUUGGUCGGGCUUCACUGUCCGUAUUGACUUGAUGGAUUCUUACCUUCUGAAUAACCAGCAUGCUAUUAAGUUAGUGCGUUGGGGAAGCAGAUCUAUUACCUUGAAAAAAUUAGAGUGCUUAAAGCGAGCUAGUGCUUGAAUAGAUUAGCAUGGAAUAAUAAAAUAGGACGGCAUGGUUCUAUUUUGUUGGUUUCUAGGAUCACCGUAAUGAUUAAUAGGGAUAGUUGGGGGCAUUAGUAUUCAAUUGUCAGAGGUGAAAUUCUUGGAUUUAUUGAAGACUAACUUCUGCGAAAGCAUUUGCCAAGGAUGUUUUCAUUAAUCAAGAACGAAAGUUAGGGGAUCGAAGACGAUCAGAUACCGUCGUAGUCUUAACCAUAAACUAUGCCGACUAGGAAUCGGACGAUGUUAAUUUUAUAAUGACUCGUUCGGCACCU
rnacentral:rRNA from 1 species